GCCCACAUAGCUCAGUGGUAGAGCACUUCCUUGGUAAGGAAGAGGUCGUUGGUUCGAGUCCAGUUGUGGGCACCA
rnacentral:tRNA from 2 species